rnacentral:lncRNA from 1 species
GCUGGGGGAGGCCAGGGAAGGCAGAGCGCUAAAGCAGUUUAACCAGAGUGGCUGGAGGGCAGCUGGGGCCAGGUCCUGGCAAGCCUUGGGCCCUACAGGAGCGGACACUCUGUCCCCUAGGCAUGGGUCAGAGGAAAGACAGCAGGGUUCUAAGCAGAGGACCUGCAAGAUGCAGCCAGCCAGGGCCUUGGUUCUGGCCUCCCUGGGGUCUGGGGCCAGCCCAUCUCUGAGCACUUUUCUGUGCCCUAGUGUUCUUACCCCACCCACUGGUGCCCGGCUCUCUCCUCUGUCCUCCUGGAACUCUGUUUCUGAUCAGCCCAAGAGGUGCCCUGUCAAUAGAGGAAGGCAAGCAGCACCUGCUCCCUAGGUGGCUUUGGUUUCACUCUCCCACCAGAGGCUUGUCUCCAACAGACCCACGGUGACCUCUGCUCUGUAUAAGGACUAAGCCCCGUGGGAAAUGCCCUUCCCAGUGUCCUACAACCAUCGUGCCCUGCAGGCCCAGAGAAAUGCGGACUCUGAUAUAGCCCAGGCAGAUUUAUAACCACAGCGAUGGACUUCAGGCAAGAGGGGAAGAUUCUCCCAUGGCAGAAACAAAAGAAAAUUCAAAGCCAGAGUAGUGAGCAGGAGCUAACGUCAAAUGCCUCACCGAAGUAUUAAAGCCAGAUGAAGUGUUGGUAUUGUAGCACCCAGGAGGCAUGAGGAGGCGAGAUGAGGAACCUAGCGCUCAGAAAAGGCAAGGAGUGCUCUUUCUUCACUGAGCCAGAAACCUAGAAAAGCUGCCCCUUCUGUACAGUGAAAGCAGGGAAACACCACCCACCACUCACAAAAGUGGACCCACCUCCCCUGGCCACGAGUAAAAAAGAAGAUACCAGAGAAAAAUCUGAGCCUUAAGUCUGUGCCAUGUCCAAUGGGGGAUCCUAAAGCUGUACCAUCCACCAGGUAUGAGACCCUAGGAGAAAAUAAUUACAGCAAAACCUGCUUAUGUGCAGGGGAGCCCCUAAGGCUGUGGCCAAGAAGAAUGUAAAAUCUGCACCUCCCGGAUGGGACUCAGCACCUUCAGAAGCUGAGCUUGGAGUAAGCAGAACUGAGUAGGAAGAAAAGUAGAAGCCAAAACAAGGAUCUCCAACCAUACCUAGCAGGAGUUCUGAAGAGAGAUCUUCUCUGAGGAACUUUCAGUGCAUGGGCCUCCAAAACUAAAAAUAUAUAUGUUUCCAUAGCAAGAAUGUAGUGUGAGUUCCAAGCAGGAUAUGUACCAACAAACCCUUGCGUUUAAAGUGGGGAGCAACACAUUAAAAGCUGGUAAGUUAAAUGCUAGGUGUAGAAUAUUGUUUAAGGCAUAAAAGAGCAAAUAGUUAUACACCCAAACGGGAUACGGGAGAAAGGGAGCUGGGGGAGUAAACUAACCUCCUUGGCUUUCAUGGUGGGAAAAAUCUCUUAAGUUAUAAUUCAAUAAAUUAGACAUAAAAGAAUAUUGUGUAUAGUUACAAGGCAACCACCAGAGGAACUAAAAAUACUCCAUAAACCUUCCAAAUUGUUAGAGGGGAAACCAA